rnacentral:rRNA from 1 species
UUCGGAGGGGGCUAGCGUUGUUCAGAAUUGUUGGGCGUAAGGCGCUCGCAGGCGGCUUGCUACGUCGUGCGUGAAACACCCCGGCUCAACUGGGGAGGGUCGUGCGAUACGGGCAGGCUGGAGGCCAGUAGGGGGAUGCGGAAUUCCGGGUGUAGUGGUGGAAUGCGUAGAGAUCCGGAGGAACACCAGCGGCGAAGGCGGCAUCCUGGACUGGUACUGACGCUCAGGAGCGAAAGCGUGGGGAGCGAUCCGG